UUCGCCAAUAAUCUGGUCGAAUUUAGUCAAGUAAAAUGGUAUUGUUUCGUUCAAAAGUUGAUUCUUCCUCGCUUCCUUCUUUUCAGGAUCCUCCUCCAUGCGAUAGUAGCAGAUAUCUGAAACGUAUAUGAAACCAACCGUUACGUUCAUUUGUGUUUUUCCCCCCAAACGAAGAGAAAAUAAGUUGUGAAAGAAGGAGUAGCCUCUCAUAGUUCCUACAAUUUCUUCAUUCUCUUUGCUUUCUUCAAUAUUGUCUCAACAAGUUCCUGUGGUUCACGAUACUUGAAAUAUAUACAAUGUUACCAGCGUGGAAAUUGUCUUGGAAACUUGGAAAAUCUUUCAAGAGGAACAACAUUGCUAACUGAGAUUCGAGAAAGGAAAGGUAUCUCAUGAUCAUGUGAUAACACACAGGAAGAAAAAAAUAGAGGAAAAAACAGCGUAAAAAAAAGUUGCGUACGAGUAUCGUCGCACUACAUCAUUCGACAAUUGAUGCACGUCAUGGCGAUCGUCACGGUUUAAAGCAGGCCAUCAAAAACACGUUUGUUAUCGUACGGAAAAAUCUGCGACGUUCCAGCUGUUCAGGUGCAUCGAAUUGUGAAUCAUCGGCGGUACGAAGCAAGGCGAGGGGCGUAAAUAGAGAAAGAAGAGAAGAGAAGGAUUCUCAUAAAUGAUAAAAUAUAAUCGUUCGUUCCUCGUCGAUGGCGGAUGGAUGGCUUUAAUCGUGGACGAUAUCGAUACGAUUAUAUUUUAUACAUUUGAAACAAAUAUAAAAGACGAGCAAAAACCAGAGAUACGAUCGUUAUGAUAUUAUUCAAUCGGUAGCCUAUUUACCUCGUUUUUUGUUCACCUUCUCUGUCUAGUAAUAAUUUUUCGAUUCGACUGGCGUGACGUUACGUUGGCGGUGUAAAAACACGAUUUUAAACACCUGCGGAUAGUUGCAUGAGUUUCGAGCGAUUCCAUUCCCUUCGAUUUAUAUUUAUGCGAUCAACGCGCGGAUCGUUAACGCAUUAUGCAGACAGCAGAUGUUACGUAAUCACACAUAUCGUAAUUGGAAAUUAGUAACGUUAUCGCGUACCAGGAUCUUCCUGUCUUUGAUCAUUGAGUAACACUUCGUUGUCCUCGCUCCUUCCGCGGAUAACCAGCGUUUAUCAUAUAGAGACAGGGAUUUGCAAAGAAUAAAAGUUGUAGAACGUUGAAAGGCGUUGAGAGAAACGUGAUGUUAUCCCGUUAUUCGUUAACGCAACGCAGUUAAAAAAAAUCCCGUAAGAAGAUUACGAUAAUAGAUAACCUGAGUCGAGUGUUUGUCGGGGGAUCUAAAAGAUUCUUUCGAGAUGAGCGUCUGAGAUCGCAGAGAAGAAAAUUUGGAAGCCAUCGAAUUCGUGAUGUCGAUAGAAAUCUUCAGUUGGAAUCGUUGUAUCAUAACGUAGUCUGCUUAUUGUCGAUAAGACUUUACUAAACUAAAAGUGACUACUAAAAGUUUCUAUCCUCUAAAUUCUAUCUACGAUUCUAUAAUCUAAAAACUGACUUUUGCAAACAAACUGUAACAUUCGCUUAACGGAAAGACAUACGUAUCUUGUUUGUACUCGUCUUUUCACAAUGAAUUCUUGAACGUCUGUCUCUGUGGUGACACAAAUGCAAAGUCAUCUCAUCAGUUACUCACCUUGCUCCAAAUCUUCAAGAGUAUCGACGAGCACUUCGCAUAU